AUGCGACUAGACAGGAUGACGUUGUCAGUGAGCUCAGUUUUUUUCCAGAGGAACAGCUUAAAUUUUUGGAAUUCUGUUGAAAUAUUUUUAUGGCCUUCAUUGAACUCCACUGUAGAGCACUGUGUUCCCAGAAGCCAGCUGUGUAGGAUGCUUCCCUUGCAAAAAGGUAAAUUAAUGAAAAAUUCAUCCAAUGCCACCUGGACACGAACUCAUCCUACAGCGAUUCAUUCAACCUUUAAUCCGACUUAAAAGAAAGUAAUUGUCAAAUUAAUUCAUCCUUUAGAGAUGUUAUUUUGGAUCAAUUUUUUACUCCCAAGGAGCCAAACUACUGAGAGACUGCAGUUCCUCAAGGUUUACCUUCUUGUUUAAGAGCUGUAAUGAAAAGGUAAAGCAGUUCAUUUAGGCCUAAAUACUUUGUUUAAAGAGGAGAGCCCUCAUGUACACAAAUACAUCAAAGUGAAACUGGUUUAAUUUUUCUCUAUCUGAAAGGGAUAACUGGGGUCCUUCACUACCUCAAACAAACGAGACUGCAAGAGAUGCCCUAUUCUGGGUGUUGUGGGCAAUGGGGGCAACGAGGAGGCUGACCUGAGGUCCUGAGCUGAUAAAAUCCCAUUCAUCUCUAAGAAAUCUCAUCCUUAAUCUUGCAUACAGACUGAAUCAGAGCUGUGCUGUUAGCCUGCUACCUUGGAAUCAGCAUGCAUCAAGGGGCACGUAAAGCAGAGAUUUCAAAUUCUUUUUCUGAUCGAGUGUCUUGCCAACCAACCAAAGCUGGUUCCUCAAAGGCAGCAGUCUAUGAAGGAUCCUUAAACAGUGUCGAAUUUGUAAUGCCGAGUGUUUGUUUUUAAAAAGACUGGCACUACAGCUGGAAAGGGUUUCCUUUUGCAAUCAUAUGAAAGGAAAAUCUUUCAGAAGUAUAUAAGAGGUAGAAAAACUAUGGUUUGUGCAUUAAAUAGUUUUACUGGCAUGGCGAGGCAAAUGUUCAAAAAUCAUGGAGUCGAAUGAUGUGCCCUUUUCUUCCAUGGGUCAGUAGAGUUCAUUGGUGGAUGAAUGCAAGAAAGAUGCUGGAGUAUAACAAAAGCAGCACUAAGUUAGAGGGGCUUGAUCAUCAGUUUAGUGUGAUGUCUACAGCAAUUAUGCGUAUUUUGUUCUGAAUGAUGGAGUCCAGUUUAGACAGGAGGAGGAGAGGAUUUGGAGAGGUUUUCUGAGCGCAGGAAAAUUGAUGUCCUUAGUUCUGUGAAGUCAUCAAUUCCCCCGUGACUCCACUGUAAAUCUCAGCCUACAGUGAGAUCAUUCUCCAAUCAACUUCAACUGAAUAACCAACUUUAAAUAAAUCUGCUUUAAUUCUGUGGCUGUUAAAAAAUAGACAAUGGUUCCAUUUUGGAUCUGUAACUCGCACCGUUUGAAUAGGAAGGUAAAAUGCUUGCUUUCAUUAAUUUAACUAUGGUGGCUAUAAUGACACCUUGGUAAUAGCAGAAAGGUGUCUCUUUCCUGACAUUAUUUCUUUUACGCAUUGUUAUUACUACUUACUGAUAACAGUGCCUGAAUUUUAAUGGACAAAGGUUGUCCAUGUCCUUUAAAUUCUGAGCAAUCUGCUUUUGGAAUGACUUCAGUCUCUAUUUAAACUUCAGCUGAUAAAAGCUUUGCUGUCAUAGUUCCAGUUCCUCCCUGCAGUUAGCUUUGCUGGCUGAAGGACUGCCAAUUAUGCACGUGGGGCAACGACAGAAGGAAUUCAAUGAAGGCAGAGACUUUUAUAAAGUUUAAUUCCUGAUGAUUUGAGGCUUUGGUAGAGAAGGGACUGAGUUGUUUGAAUGCCAUGUGUAUUCAUUAUGAAACAAAACAGUGUUUUGAAAAUGUAUCCAUUGAUUAAAAGAAUCUGAUAUAAAUUCUAUGGUUGGUUCAAGUCAGUUGUGCUUUGGAUUUUCAUUUCUGUCUCCCUGAGCAAAUUAUAAGGUUCUGAGAGGAGUAUGGCCAGCAAGAAGAAUUGUUUAAUGCUGCUAAUGCCAUCGUUAAUCCAAUGGUCUUUACCAAUGUUUUGUGACACUUGCAUAUGUUAAUGUCAAAAUAACCUUGUUAAGGAGCUGAGCUUAAUCUGACCUUCAAAGUACUUGGACUCUUCUGUUUAAUGAAGUAUGAUUCAUCAUUACAUCUGUCAUCUGGAGCUCUGCAAAUCAGUAUGAAUGGCUUGCAAUGAUGAUAUAACUUUGAGAAGAAACCCAGGGCCACAUCAUUGCUUGAUGUGUGAAUAAGCAAAGCUUCUCUGAUGUGAGGGAAGCCUGUGGAUUUACAGCUUUCUGGUGUUGAUAGAAAAUAUAUAAACUUAGAGAUGACAUAGCUUUUGUUUUCUGGAUAUAGUGUUCCAAACAAAUAUGGGAAACUUGUAUAUUCUCUGCACUUUCCAAAGAGCUUUUGAGUGUGACUCAAAAUCAUUUAAUGUAAUGUCCAGCAUGGCAAUCUUUGUGUGCUUCUGGGAAUUCAGACUACCUCAUUUUAUGGAUUGCAGAACUCUAUCAGCAGCAGAGUUCCUCGAAGACCUAUGGGACAAAGAAUGGCUUUGCUAACUGAGCCUACUAUAUACUCCCAGAAAAAAUUGUGCUGGGACAGAAGACAGCAGAAGACACCUGGAAAGGUAAGGUUACAUCUUCCUUGGUUUCCUUCAGCUCAGGGAGAGGAAG
ensembl:lncRNA